rnacentral:rRNA from 1 species
UUGACCUCGAAUCAGGUAGGAAUACCCGCUGAACUUAAGCAUAUCAAUAAGCGGAGGAAAAGAAACCAACAGGGAUUGCCCCAGUAACGGCGAGUGAAGCGGCAACAGCUCAAAUUUGAAAUCUGGCUCUCGGGCCCGAGUUGUAAUUUGUAGAGGAUGCUUUUGGUGAGGUGCCUUCCGAGUUCCCUGGAACGGGACGCCAUAGAGGGUGAGAGCCCCGUCUGGUUGGACACCGAUCCUCUGUAAAGCUCCUUCGACGAGUCGAGUAGUUUGGGAAUGCUGCUCUAAAUGGGAGGUAUAUGUCUUCUAAAGCUAAAUACCGGCCAGAGACCGAUAGCGCACAAGUAGAGUGAUCGAAAGAUGAAAAGAACUUUGAAAAGAGAGUUAAAAAGUACGUGAAAUUGUUGAAAGGGAAGCGCUUGUGACCAGACUUGGGCUUGGUUGAUCAUCCGGGGUUCUCCCCGGUGCACUCUUCCGGCUCAGGCCAGCAUCAGUUCGCCCUGGGGGAUAAAGGCUUCGGGAAUGUGGCUCUCUCCGGGGAGUGUUAUAGCCCGCUGCGUAAUACCCUGUGGCGGAC